GCUCAGCGGUAGAGCGGUCGGCUGUUAACCGAUAGGUCGUAGGUUCGAAUCCUACUCGGGGAGCCA
rnacentral:tRNA from 1 species